AGUGAACGCUGGCGGUAGGCCUAACACAUGCAAGUCGAACGGCAGCACAGUAAGAGCUUGCUCUUACGGGUGGCGAGUGGCGGACGGGUGAGGAAUACAUCGGAAUCUACUUUUUCGUGGGGGAUAACGUAGGGAAACUUACGCUAAUACCGCAUACGACCUACGGGUGAAAGCAGGGGAUCUUCGGACCUUGCGCGAUUGAAUGAGCCGAUGUCGGAUUAGCUAGUUGGCGGGGUAAAGGCCCACCAAGGCGACGAUCCGUAGCUGGUCUGAGAGGAUGAUCAGCCACACUGGAACUGAGACACGGUCCAGACUCCUACGGGAGGCAGCAGUGGGGAAUAUUGGACAAUGGGCGCAAGCCUGAUCCAGCCAUACCGCGUGGGUGAAGAAGGCCUUCGGGUUGUAAAGCCCUUUUGUUGGGAAAGAAAAGCAGCAGGUUAAUACCCCGCUGUUCUGACGGUACCCAAAGAAGAAACACCGGCUAACUUCGU
rnacentral:rRNA from 1 species